AAGACAAAUUCAAGUGGAUUAGUGAUCAACCUUCCAGUCACUUUUACAACAAGUAUAAACACUUUGAGAAUGAAUGAAUAUGUUUUUAGUGUUUCAUAAGUCAUUCAAAUCAUCAAAACAAAAGGUUAUGCAUACGUAUCGGACCACGCGAUUAAGCUCUUCAGUUUCAGGGACUGCUGCUCCACCACUUAAGGAAUCGCAGCGUUGAAAUUCUCGCCACUGUUGCUCUGGUCCAGGCUAUCCGAGAAGCCCAGAACCCACCAGGAAAUCUCGAUUGCAGCCACUGUGCCCCAGGAGGACAUUGGUAAGUACAUUAAGAUACUUGGAGAAGCACUGCAGCUUAGUCAGCCCAUCAACAGCAAUUCCAUAUCGGUCCGACCGAUAUGGACAAGUUGAAAGACCACGGAGUUGAAAGACUGCGGAGUUGAACUUGACAUUUUAUCACUUAAGUUGUGCUAUAUGCUGAUAGUGUCGAACUUGAGUUGUUCUCCUUAUCAAGUCUGACCAUGAUUCACAUGCUUUCUUGUAGAACUGGCAAUCAACAAAUGCUUCUGCACGCGUAGGAACCACAUUAGCAUCUCCGCAGCCGCAAUUUAUUUAGCCUGCCAGCUUGAAGACGAGAAAAACUCGGGCAGAGAUUUGUAAGGUGACUGGUCUUGCUAGAGUCCCUCUCCGAAAAGUCCACAAGCAUCUCUUGGAGAACUGGGAGGACUUGCUCCCAUCUAAUUACGCUCCUGCCGAGCAUUCCCUACCACUGUAGUCGCUUCAGCUCGUUCUUCGGCCUCUAAAGUUGAUUUUGUUGAUAUACCAAAUGUGGGCUUAGACAUGAACGUGUAAGGUUUUCUUUGGUGAGCAUGAUCAAACACUAAGUCAUGCAGUAACACAAGUAAUAUGAGCUAUAUAUUUUAAGACUUGAUGUAGGGUUGUAACCGGAUACCAACCAUUUGGAGGGAAAAAUAUAAGAAACUAAUUUGAAAUUA